CGUGGGAUCAGGUAAGGGUGAAAGGGUGCGGUAAGAGCGCACCGCGCGGCUGGUAACAGUCCGUGGCACGGUAAACUCCACCCGGAGCAAGGCCAAAUAGGGGUUCAUAAGGUACGGCCCGUACUGAACCCGGGUAGGCUGCUUGAGCCAGUGAGCGAUUGCUGGCCUAGAUGAAUGACUGUCCACGACAGAACCCGGCUUAUCGGUCAGUUUCACCU
rnacentral:RNase_P_RNA from 1 species